rnacentral:rRNA from 1 species
CCUACGGGGGCAGCAGUGGGGAAUAUUGGACAAUGGGCGAAAGCCUGAUCCAGCCAUGCCGCGUGUGUGAAGAAGGCCUUCGGGUUGUAAAGCACUUUCAGUGGGGAAGAAAGCCUUGGGGCUAAUACCCUCGAGGAAGGACAUCACCCACAGAAGAAGCACCGGCUAACUCCGUGCCAGCAGCCGCGGUAAUACGGAGGGUGCGAGCGUUAAUCGGAAUUACUGGGCGUAAAGCGCGCGUAGGCGGUCUGAUAAGCCGGUUGUGAAAGCCCCGGGCUCAACCUGGGAACGGCAUCCGGAACUGUCAGGCUAGAGUGCAGGAGAGGAAGGUAGAAUUCCCGGUGUAGCGGUGAAAUGCGUAGAGAUCGGGAGGAAUACCAGUGGCGAAGGCGGCCUUCUGGACUGACACUGACGCCGAGGUGCGAAAGCGUGGGUAGCAAACAGGAUUAGAUACCCUUGUAGUC